AUGAACAGUAGUCUGAUAAAGGAGUUUACAGAGAAGGAGAUUGGAGACGCCCUCUUCCAGAUCGGCCCUCUAAAAGCGCCAGGACCAAACGGCUUCCCGGCUCGGUUUUUUCAACGUAACUGGGAGACUUUGAAGAAGGAUGUGAUUGCGGCAGUGCAAAAAAAUUUCAUGAAUGGGAUCAUGCCUGAAGGUAUAAAUGACACAUCCAUUGUUCUGAUCCCUAAAGGCAAGAAUCCGCAGAGUUUGAAAGAUUUCCACCCAAUAAGUCUAUGCAACGUCAUUUAUAAGGUGAUUUCCAAAUGCUUGGUAAACCGCUUGAGGCCUCUGUUGGACGACUUGAUAUCAGAAACACAGAGCGCUUUCAUCCCGGGGAGGAUGAUCAUUGAUAACGUUAUCAUAGCUUUUGAAUGUUUUCAUAAGAUUCAGCAUAGCAAGAACCCACAUAAUACGCACUGUGCGUAUAAGUUGGACCUAGCCAAAGCAUAUGACAGAGUGGAUUGGGACUUCCUUGAAGGUGCAAUGGAGAAGAUGGGUUUCCACUCACUCUGGAUUAGUUGGAUAAUGAGUUGUGUUAAAUUUGUCCGCUUCUCAGUAAAACUGAAUGGGGAAGUGUUGUAG
rnacentral:rRNA from 1 species